rnacentral:rRNA from 1 species
UAGAUUCCCUCCGUGCCGAAGCUUACGCGUUAAGCAUCCCGCCUGGUGACUACGUCCGCAAGGCUUGAACUCAAACGAAUUGACGGGUCCCCGCACAAGCAGCGGAGCGUGUGGUUUAAUUCGAUGCUACACGAAGAACCUUACCUGGGUUUGACAUGCAAGUAGUAGUGAAGCGAAAGCGGAACGACCCUUCGGGGAGCUUGCACAGGUGCUGCAUGGCUGUCGUCAGCUCGUGCCGUGAGGUGUCGGUUUAAGUCCCGUAACGAGCGCAACCCUUGCCCUUAGUUAUACGUGUCUAAGGGGACUGCCCGGGACAACUGGGAGGAAGCUGGGGAUGACGUCAAGUCAGCAUGGCCUUUAUAUCCAGGGCGACACACGCGCUACAAUGGCCGGUACAAUGGGUUGCCAAGCCGUGAGGCGGAGCCAAUCCCGCAAAGUCGGUCUAAGUUCGGAUUGUGGGCUGCAACUCGCCCACAUGAAGCUGGAGUUGCUAGUAACCGCGCGUCAGCCAUAGCCCGGCGAAUACGUUCCCGGGGAUUGACACACCGCCCGUCACGUCAUGGAAGCUGGCAACACCUAAAGCCGGUAUGAAACCCGAAAGGGAAGCCGCCGUCUAAG